AAUCAACGCUGGCGGCGUGCCUCAGACAUGCAAGUCGAACGCGAAAGGCUCCUUCGGGAGCCCGGUAGAGUGGCGCACGGGUGAGUAACACGUGGGUAAUUUACCUUCGGGUGGGGAAGUAACAGCCGGAAACGGCUGCUAAUACCGCAUAAUGCAGCGGCACCACAUGGUGACAGUUGUUAAAGUGGGGGAGUCGCAAGACCUCACGCCUGAAGAGAAGCCCGCGGCGGAUUAGCAGUUGGCGGGGUAAUGGCCCACCAAGGCGUCGAUCCGUAGCCGGCCUGAGAGGGCGGUCGGCCACACUGACACUGAAUAACGGGUCAGACUCCUACGGGAGGCAGCAGUCGGGAAUUUGGGCAAUGGGCGCAAGCCUGACCCAGCAACGCCGCGUGAAGGA
rnacentral:rRNA from 1 species